rnacentral:tRNA from 1 species
GCGCCCUUAGCUCAACUGGAUAGAGCGCCGGUCUUCGGAACCGAAGGUUGGGGGUUCGAAUCCCUCAGGGCGUA